UGCUGCAUGGCUGUCAUCAGCUCGUGUCGUGAGAUGUUGGGUUAAGUCCCGCAACGAGCGCAACCCUUUGUCUUUAAUUUGCCAUCAUUUAGUUGGGCACUUUAAAGAGACUGCCGGUGUUAAGCCGGAGGAAGGUGGGGAUGACGUCAAGUCCUCAUGGCCUUUAUGCCCAGGGCUACACACGUGCUACAAUGGGCGGUACAAAGAGAAGCAACCUCGCGAGGGUGAGCAAAUCUCAAAAAGCCGUUCUCAGUUCGGAUUGAAGUCUGCAACUCGACUUCAUGAAGUCGGAAUCGCUAGUAAUCGCGGAUCAGCAUGCCGCGGUGAAUACGUUCCCGGGCCUU
rnacentral:rRNA from 1 species